GGUUGAGCUCAAUCAGGCCCCAUCCUGCUUCACAGCCUACUGAGGAGUCCAGACGCCCCGACCCCCGGCCAGGGACAGCCACGAGGAGUGGUGGCCCUCGGGUUUCGGCCGCCCAGCCUCUCUCUGGGGGCUGCGAAGGCCUCUGGGCUCCGGGUUCCGGGCCGCGGGGCUGCGGGCUCCGAGCGGCGCCAACAUGGCUGCCGCGAGGAGGAGGCCCCGGCCUGGCCGCACGUGUAUGAUGACAACUCGGUAAUGCUGCAUACUCCCGAGUGCGCGGUGGGGAAGCCAACCUUGGAGAGCUGAGCGUGCGGCCGGCCUGGCGCGGGGGUUGGGAGCUGGCGAGUCGCUAGCACCGAGUCACAGUGGCUCAAGCUUCCUUCCCCGCUUCCACAUGCAGGCAUCUCUCGGGACAACUGGCACAAGCGCCGCAAAACCGGGGGCAAGAGAAAGCCCUACCACAAGAAGCGGAAGUAUGAGUUGGGGCGCCCAGCUGCCAACACCAAGAUUGGCCCCCGCCGCAUCCACACAGUCCGUGUGCGGGGAGGUAACAAGAAAUACCGUGCCCUGAGGUUGGACGUGGGGAAUUUCUCCUGGGGCUCAGAGUGUUGUACUCGUAAAACAAGGAUCAUCGAUGUUGUCUACAAUGCAUCUAAUAACGAACUGGUUCGUACCAAGACCCUGGUGAAGAAUUGCAUCGUGCUCAUCGACAGCACACCGUACCGACAGUGGUACGAGUCCCACUAUGCACUGCCCCUGGGCCGCAAGAAGGGAGCCAAGCUGACUCCUGAGGAAGAAGAGAUUUUAAACAAAAAACGAUCUAAAAAAAUUCAGAAGAAAUAUGAUGAAAGGAAAAAGAAUGCCAAAAUCAGCAGUCUCCUGGAGGAGCAGUUCCAGCAGGGCAAGCUUCUUGCAUGCAUCGCUUCAAGGCCGGGACAGUGUGGCCGAGCAGAUGGCUAUGUGCUAGAGGGCAAAGAGUUGGAGUUCUAUCUUAGGAAAAUCAAGGCCCGGAAAGGCAAAUAAAUCCUUGUUUUGUCUUCACCCAUGUAAUAAAGGUGUUUAUUGUUUUGUUCCCACAUUUGUGUUGCCUGAAUAUUUGACUGUUUUCUCUGCUUUA
rnacentral:sRNA from 1 species